rnacentral:lncRNA from 1 species
UUUACUCAAUAUCCUUACCCCAAAGGCUAAAGAUAUUCAAAUGUAAUAACAAUGAUCAUAACAAUCAGUUGUCUACCUUUGCACUACGGGCCAAAGAUAUUCAACUAUAAAACAAAUGGUCAUGAUCAUACCAAUCAAUUGUCUGUCAGUGCACUACGGCCAAAGGUAUUCAACUGUUAACUAAUGGUUAUGAUCAUGCCAAUCACAUCAUCAAAUUAUCCAUGCACUACGAGUCAAGGAUAUUCAUUAUUAUCACCAGUGGUUAUGAUCAUGUCAUACACCUGUCCAUCUUUGCACAUAAGCC